rnacentral:ncRNA from 1 species
GAGAAAUUGAAGAGUAAGAGUAGUAGUAUAGUUAAGCUAGUUAUAGAGAAUCAGUGGUUGGUGAAAACUGAUCUAGUCGCUAUAUGAAUGGACUUAUGAGAGUAUCUAUGAACCAAUUUGUAGUAGUAGAUAACGAAUCAUCCUCGUUACGGAUGUCGAGAUCAGAUUGUUUAGCAAUCUGAAAUUGAGGUGGCACCGCGAAUAAUAUCGUCCUCAUG